CAAUAGCGUAUAUUAAAGUUGUUGCAGUUAAAAAGCUCGUAGUUGGAUUUCUGGUAGGAGUGACCGUUCCGAACUUGAUUGUUCGUGUAUUGUGUUUUCUCCAGCCAUCCUUGUGGAGAACUUUUCUUGCAUUAAUUUGUAGGGAUUGGGACCCGCAUCGUUUACUGUGAAAAAAUUAGAGUGUUUAAAGCAGGCAAUCGCUUGAAUACAUUAGCAUGGAAUAAUAAGAUAGGACUUUGGUACUAUUUUGUUGGUUUGCAUACAAAAUUAAUGAUCAACAGGAACAGUUUGAGGAUAUUCGUAUGAACAUGUCAGAGGUGAAAUUCUUGGAUUUUGAUCAGACGAACUACUGCGAAAGCAUUUAUCAAGGAUGUUUUCAUUAA
rnacentral:rRNA from 1 species